rnacentral:lncRNA from 12 species
AAUGCAAGAAGGCUGAGUGAAUGGGACCUGAAUUCAGUAGCACAAGUGUGUGGCCCAGGUAAUUGGCAGCUCCCUCCAACACCACAAGGGCCCCAGGGAGCACCUCCAGCCCAGGGGAGUACCACAAAACUCCUCCUACACUCGAGGAACUGGUAGUCAAGAGGUGGAAAGUGAGAUCUUAGAGCUGGCACAUAGAGGGUCCUUGGGUAGACCUCUGGGCACGGGGAAGUGACUGCUAGCAGCCUGAUUAAUGCCCGCUUUCUUACAAGGAUGGGCAGGCCACGCCAAGCUCCAGGCCCAGGAGGGCUGUGAGGACACCCACACCCCUCCUCAACACCUCUUGAAACUUAUUGACUGUUCAUGCUAUUGACUAACCCUCAAAUGGGGGAGCUCACCUGGAAAUGGCAACACACACAUACCUGAAGUGUUAUGACCCUGAAGGAUACCAGGAGAAAGUCCUUGAACACAGCAGUGUAAAUUAUGUUCCAGUGAGGCACACUGGGAUCAGAGGGAAUGGAUCAUAAUCUCGACACAAAACAGCUCACACUUUGGUGGCUUAGCUGGCAAUGUUUCGCCCUCCCCAAGCCUGUCUAACUCCCACCCAUCUUGUGAGAUUAGUGCCAUGGAUCAUCUGGUAAGUAAUUUAAAAGGGAAAAUACUUAAAUAAAUUUAGGCUGAUAUUUAUUUAAUUAUCUGUG